rnacentral:pre_miRNA from 15 species
GGCGGAGGAGAAUGGGUGGUUGACAGAAGAGAGCGAGCACACGGCGGGGGGAAAUGGUAUGGUAUGAUGCUGUUUCCGUUGCGUGCUCACUUCUCUUCCUGUCAACCCUUGCUAUCAUCGUCG